rnacentral:sRNA from 1 species
UGUGAUUUUUUGUUGGGAACCAGCUUGGA